rnacentral:rRNA from 1 species
GGCGAGUGGCGAACGGGUGAGUAAUACAUCGGAACGUGUCCUGGAGUGGGGGAUAGCCCGGCGAAAGCCGGAUUAAUACCGCAUACGCUCUGUGGAGGAAAGCGGGGGAUCUUCGGACCUCGCGCUCAAGGGGCGGCCGAUGGCAGAUUAGCUAGUUGGUGGGGUAAAGGCCUACCAAGGCGACGAUCUGUAGCUGGUCUGAGAGGACGACCAGCCACACUGGGACUGAGACACGGCCCAGACUCCUACGGGAGGCAGCAGUGGGGAAUUUUGGACAAUGGGGGCAACCCUGAUCCAGCAAUGCCGCGUGUGUGAAGAAGGCCUUCGGGUUGUAAAGCACUUUUGUCCGGAAAGAAAACCUCUGGGUUAAUACCCUGGGGGGAUGACGGUACCGGAAGAAUAAGCACCGGCUAACUACGUGCCAGCAGCCGCGGUAAUACGUAGGGUGCGAGCGUUAAUCGGAAUUACUGGGCGUAAAGCGUGCGCAGGCGGUUCGCUAAGACCGAUGUGAAAUCCCCGGGCUUAACCUGGGAACUGCAUUGGUGACUGGCGGGCUANAGUAUGGCAGAGGGGGGUAGAAUUCACGUGUAGCAGUGAAAUGCGUAGAGAUGUGGAGGAAUACCGAUGGCG